GCGCCCGUAGCUCAGGUGGAUAGAGCAAGGGAUUCCUAAUCCCUGUGCCGGGGGUUCGAGUCCCUCCGGGCGCACCA
rnacentral:tRNA from 1 species